GACGAACGCUGGCGGCGUGCUUAACACAUGCAAGUCGAGCGGUAAGGCCCUUUCGGGGGUACACGAGCGGCGAACGGGUGAGUAACACGUGGGUGACCUGCCCUCAGCUCUGGGAUAAGCCUGGGAAACCGGGUCUAAUACCGGAUAUGACUCCAUGACGCAUGUUGUGGGGUGGAAAGCCUUGUGCGGCUGAGGAUGGGCCCGCGGCCUAUCAGCUUGUUGGUGGGGUGAUGGCCUACCAAGGCGACGACGGGUAGCCGGCCUGAGAGGGCGACCGGCCACACUGGGGACUGAGACACGGCCCAGACUCCUACGGGAGGCAGCAGUGGGGAAUCUUGCGCAAUGGGCAAAGCCUGACGCAGCGACGCCGCGUGAGGGAUGAC
rnacentral:rRNA from 1 species